rnacentral:misc_RNA from 1 species
GAUGAAGGAACGUAGCGAAAUGCGAUAAGUAAUGUGAAUUGCAGAAUUCAGUGAAUCAUCGAAUCUUUGAACGCACAUUGCGCCCGGCAGUACUCUGCCGGGCAUGCCUGUUCGAGCGUCAUUUCAACCCUCAAGCCCUGCUUGGUGUUGGGGUCCCACGGCCGCCGUGGGCCCUGAAAGGAAGUGGCGGGCUCGCUACAACUCCGAGCGUAGUAAUUCAUUAUCUCGCUUAGGGCGUUGGGCGGCGCUCCUGCCGUUAAAGAACCAUCUUUAACUCAAGGUUGACCUCGGAUCAGGUAGGAAUACCCGCUGAACUUAAGCAUAUCAAUAAGCGGAGGA